UGGAGUGAUUUGUCUGGUUAAUUCCGAUAACGAACGAGACUCUAGCCUGCUAAAUAGGUGGCGGGUUUUAUCAUUGAAUUUUGGGUUCGGAGUUCGCCGGGAUCAGGGUUGGCGUUGCUCUUCUGCGGUGCGUCCCGGUUGUUGUGGGGGUGGAGUCUUUGCGGCCGUUUCGGCGGUUUCGGAGGUUUCGUUCUCUCAGCGAUCGAAGGCGUGCCGUGGGAGUGUGGCGUCGGUCCCCCGGCGGUCGGCUUCGUUCUCGCGUCCGUCACAACUCUUCUUAGAGGGACAAGCGGCGUCCAGCCGCGUGACAGUGAGCAAUAACAGGUCUGUGAUGCCCUUAGAUGUCCUGGGCCGCACGCGCGCUACACUGAAGGAAUCAGCGUGUUUUUCUCCCCCUGUCCGAAAGGACCGGGUAACCGCUGAACCUCCUUCGUGGUUGGGAUUGGGGACUGCAAUGAUCCCCAUGAACCAGGAAUCCCUAGUAGGCGCGAGUCACUAGCUCGCGUCGAUUACGUCCCUGCCCUUUGUACACACCGCCCGUCGCUACUACCGAUUGAAUGAUUUAGUGAGGCCUUCGGACGGGCUCGUCGGGGGUUGAGCGAAGGGGAGCAAUCCUCCUAGCCCGGCCCUGAUUAACGGCGAGACUGAAAGAUGUCCGAACUUGAUCCUUUAGAGGAAGUAAAAGUCGUAACAAGGUAUCCGUAGGUGAAAU
rnacentral:rRNA from 1 species